AGCAGCCGCGGUAAUUCCAGCUCCAAUAGCGUAUAUUAAAGUUGUUGCAGUUAAAAAGCUCGUAGUUGAAUUUCGGGAUCAAUAUGUCGGUCGUGCUUCGGUACGUACUGGCGUUAUUGGUUUCUCCCUUCUGAAGAACCGCGAUGUCAUUAAUUUGGUGUCGUGGGGAAUCAGGACUGUUACUUUGAAAAAAUUAGAGUGUUUAAAGCAGGCUCGCGCUUGAAUACAUUAGCAUGGAAUAAUGAAAUAGGACGUUUGAUUCUAUUUUGUUGGUUUCUAGGAUCGACGUAAUGAUUAAUAGGGAUAGUUGGGGGCAUUAGUAUUCAAUUGUCAGAGGUGAAAUUCUUGGAUUUAUUGAAGACUAACUACUGCGAAAGCAUUUGCCAAGGAUGUUUUCAUUAAUCAAGAGCGAAAGUUAGGGGAUCGAAGACGAUCAGAUACCGUCGUAGUCUUAACCAUAAACUAUGCCGACUAGGGAUCGGAUGAUGUUAAUUUUUAAUGACUCAUUCGGCGCCUUAAC
rnacentral:rRNA from 1 species